rnacentral:rRNA from 1 species
GACGAACGCUGGCGGCGUGCUUAACACAUGCAAGUCGAACGGUAAGGCCCUUCGGGGUACACGAGUGGCGAACGGGUGAGUAACACGUGGGUGAUCUGCCCUGCACUUCGGGAUGAGCCUGGGAAACUGGGUCUAAUACCGGAUAGGACCACUGCCUGCAUGGGUGGUGGUGGAAAGCUUUUGCGGUGUGGGAUGGGCCCGCGGCCUAUCAGCUUGUUGGUGGGGUGAUGGCCUACCAAGGCGACGACGGGUAGCCGGCCUGAGAGGGUGACCGGCCACACUGGGACUGAGAUACGGCCCAGACUCCUAUGGGAGGCAGCAGUGGGGAAUAUUGCACAAUGGGCGCAAGCCUGAUGCAGCGACGCCGCGUGAGGGAUGACGGCCUUCGGGUUGUAAACCUCUUUCAGCACCGACGAAGCGCAAGUGACGGUAGGUGCAGAAGAAGGACCGGCCAACUACGUGCCAGCAGCCGCCGUAA